rnacentral:lncRNA from 1 species
AUGAAGUGUUGGCUAUGUCAAUCAAUACUUAUAGGUACACAAAGGGAGGAGAGACUGACCCUGAUGAUGACCAUAUUGAACUGGAUGAGAGCAGCAGCAACAGGAACCUCCCAGUUCAACCUACUUUUGCUGUACCUAAAGGUUCCUAAGACAUUUCUCAAACAAGAGCUGCCGGCCCUGCACAACAGAUCCUGAAGACCUUCCCUCGCACUCAGCAUGGUCAGCGUAUUCAGCUUAUACAUUCUCACUGUGAAAUUGAGAACAGUAACAACAAUAUCCUAGAUUCUUAUUAAGAAUAUAGAAUGUUGUUGUUAUUGUUCUCAAUUGCACUGUGAGAAUUUGAGUGGUGCUUAUUCACGUAAGACUGAUUACUAUACAGAACACUGAGAUCUUUACUGUACAGAGCUAAGCACUAACUAUUGAAUGAGAGUAUAUGAUAUUGUUGUUCACUGUGAGAAUUUAUGGUGCUGCUUAUUAGGGUUGCAAAAUUCCUUGAAUGUUCAAAAUUGGAAACCUUCCAUGUGAAUCAAAGGGAAUAUAUGGGAAUUUAUAGGAAUUAACAUGAAUAAUGGGAAAUUUGCAAAAUUGCUGGUUAGCCUUUAACAAGGAAUUUAAAUGUAGUUAAAAAAUAUCCUGCUUAUAUCUUAGUUAAAACAACAAGAUUUAAUACAAAUUCAGUUGAAUGCACAGAGCAGGGAAAUAAUUCAACUGAAUUUGUAUUAAUUCAACUGAUUUAAUACAAAUUCAGUUUAAUUCAACUGAUUUAAUACAAAUUCAAUUCAACUGAAUUUGUAUUAAAUCAGUUGAACUAAUUCAAAUUCAGUUGAAUUGCUACCCUGCUCUGUGCAUUCCUCAAUCACAAGCACAACUAAUUUCUAGUAUCCUGCACACUACAGCAGGACUAUUGAAGCCACAUUACUGCAUGCAAGUUUAACAAGCAAAUAAAAGUAAAUCAGAUAUGCUAAUGUAAGCUAGCUAACAUCAUUUCAUUGACAAUUUAAGAGCCUAGCUAUCAUGGUGCUAGCUAGCUCAACUGUGAUGUGUUUCUUCUGCCUUCAGCUGGCCUUUUUUCAUACAAGAAUGUAGGUUAUAGUUUGAUUUAGCAUACUGAUUGAGUGUUCAUCUAUUCAUCUAGCCUUUCUAUUCAUUUAUACAGCAUUUUUUUUCAUAUCUUUAUUGGGUUAUCUAGACACAAUGUAUGUUCAAUCAGUAAGGAUACAAAAAACAAAAACAGGAGGGGGUGAACAGUAGCCAAACCAACAAAAAGUAAAAAGGGGCAAUUAGAGGAGGGACCCACAAUGCUUGGGGAAAAAAACAAAAAUUAACUAUAACAGUUUGUGUAUGUUGUGCCUGGUGUUCGACCACCAUAUCAUCACACCAAGACUAUUACUGGUGUCUUUCAGAAUCCUGACUGGGAAAAAAAAGGAAAAAAGUUACAUCAGUUUAUCUUAAUUGGAACCAUCUAUCUUAAUCAUCAAAUGAUGGAAUGGAAUUGAGUAAGUAAAGAAUGGGAUUCCAAGUUUUAUCAAAUUUGAUCGGAGCACCCCCUAAUACUGUACUUGGUUUUUUCUAAGUGUAGAAAUUACGUUAGAUCCUUUAGCUAAGAGUUAGGGGUGGGAGGAUUCUUAUCCUUCCAAAGAAGUAAAAUACGUCGGCGGGCUACGUGAAUUCUUCAGGCACACCAAAGUUGGAGGUUAAAGGACUCCAAAGCUGUUUAGAGCUUUUGAAAGAGUAUUGUAGAAAGAGGACCAGAAUGAGCUUAAUCUCGGACAGGAAAAAAACAUGUGUGUAUGACUGGCUGAAGACAGAGAGCAUCUGUCACAUGUAUCACUUGUAUUAAAAAGUUUUUUUCAAGUUUAGCUUUGGAAAAAUGUAUUCUAUGUAGGACCUUGAACUGAAUUAAUGUCAGACUGGCACAAGAUGAGGUGGAGUUAACCCUGUCAAGGGCCCUUUGCCACCAUUCGCCUGACAAGGUUACCACCUAGCUCCUUUUCCCAUGAAUUCCUAGUUGCCAGUGGGGAUGACAAUGAUGACAAGAUUAAUUUCACCACAAUUGAAAUGAACCCACAGACCGCAGGGAGAGAAAGAAUUAUAUCAAUGAGAGUACGAGAUGGUUUGUGGGGGAAGUCGGGGAAUUACAACGAACAAAAUCUCUGGCUUGAAAAUAUCUAAAAAAAAAUGGAAGGGCGAAUUUAGUUCUCAAAGGAGAUCAAAAUGUCCUUGUCGAAAAGUUGAUCAAAAUUCACCAGCCCUUUCUCUUUCCACAGAGUGUAAGUUGAAUCAAGGCCGUGGGUGGAAAUAAAUGGUUUUCACAGAAGGGCAUCAGUGGGGAAAGAGAGGUGAUUUUGAAGUGCCGUUUAAACUGUUUCAGGAUUUUUAUAGUAGUCAAGACAAUUGGGUUGGAGGUGACUUUAGUAGGGUGUGCAUUUAGAGGGGAACAUAUUAAAGCUGAUAAAGAGAUGGAGUUGCAUGAGUAGACUUCCAUCUGACACCAGUCUGUGCUGGGGGAGUUGUACCAGGUAUAGAUUUUUGGAAUAUUGGCUGCCCAAUAGUAUGCCCUGAAAUCCGGCAGAGCAAGGCCACCCUCAUCCUUGGUUCUUUGCAAAAUUGAGUACUUUGCCCUUGAAGUCUUUCCCGACCAAAUGAAAUGUGAAAUGAUCUUAUCCAAUUCUUUAAAAAAAGUUUUGGGCAGGUAUAUAGGUAGACACUGAAAAAGAAAUAAACAUUUUGGUAGGACAUUCAUUCUGAUAGAAUUGAUUCUACCUAGAAGCGGCAAUGGACUAAGUUAUCUAAGAAUUUGUUCAUUGAGGUAGUGUCUGAAGAGGCUUCUGAUUUAUAUAAAUCAGAAUAAUAUGAAGUGAAAAUAUUUAUCUCGGUUGGGUCUGUAACUGAAGUUUGGGGGUUCUUACGAAUUUGUGCAAUGAAUUGGGAAGAGGAUUGAUGUUUUAGUUGCCUUGCCAGUAACCGGCUAGCCGUGUUUCCAUAUUCAUAAUAAGUGCCCUUUGUACCCCUUAAAAGAAACUCCACUUUGUUUGUGGAAAUGGGGUCAAAUUCAGUCUGUAAUUUAAGUCUCUCCAUCUAGAGAGUGGGAUUGGCUGAAGUGGAGUGUUGUCUGUCAAUUUGAAGAGUUGUUUCCAUCAGUUCAAGUUGUCUUUGUUUUUCACCCUUUCGUAUCCUCGCUUUAUAUAAGAUAAUCUCUCCACAUAUUACCGAAGGUUUCCCACAGGAGAGAAGGUGAUGUAGAGUCAGAUUUGUUAUUUCCGAGAAAGCGUGAAAUCCUGUCAGAAAUAAAUCCACAAAAUUUGUCGGAUGAUAAUAGCCCAGUGUUUAAUCUCCAGGUUGAGUGGCUUUUGGUUUUAGGGACUAGUUCUAAAUCUAAUAAGAGGGGGGCAUGGCCUGAAAUAAUUAUUCACAUUGUUUCACUGAGGGUAAUAAAAUCUUAUCAAGAAAAAAGUAGUCUAUUCAAGGGUAUGUUUGAUGAACCUGGGAAUGAAAUGAAAACUCUUUCGCUGUUGGGUGGAAAAAACGCUGCACGUCCACACUGCCAAUUUGAUCUGUGAAUACAGAUACACAUUUAGCUGCUUUGGAUUGAGUUAGUUUUCUUGAACACAAUCUGUCAAGUGUGGGAUUGACAGAUAAGUUAAGAUCCCCUCCAAAGAUGAGUUGAUGUGUAUCUAGGCUUGGAAUGGAUAAGAAUAGGGAAGUCAUAAAAUUAGGGCAGUCCCAGAUGGGGGGCAUAAACACAAACCAUAAUAACAGGAGUUUGGAACAGCACACCAACGACAAUAAUAU